rnacentral:rRNA from 1 species
AACGAACGCUGGCGGCAGGCUUAACACAUGCAAGUCGAACGCAUCCUUCGGGGUGAGUGGCAGACGGGUGAGUAACGCGUGGGAACGUGCCCUUCAGUUCGGGAUAACCCAGGGAAACUUGGGCUAAUACCGGAUACGUGCGAGAGCAGAAAGAUUUAUCGCUGAAGGAUCGGCCCGCGUCUGAUUAGCUAGUUGGUGGGGUAAUGGCCCACGAAGGCGACGAUCAGGAGCUGGUCUGAGAGGAUGAUCAGCCACAUUGGGACUGAGACACGGACCAAACUCCUACGGGAGGCAGCAGUGGGGAAUAUUGGACAAUGGGCGCAAGCCUGAUCCAGCCAUGCCGCGUGAGUGAUGAAGGCCUUAGGGUUGUAAAGCUCUUUCGUCCGGGACGAUAAUGACGGUACCGGAAGAAGAAGCCCCGGCUAACUUCGUGCCAGCAGCCGCAGUAA